rnacentral:lncRNA from 1 species
GAAGAUUCAACUUGUCCAUUUCCAGAUCUCCCCUAGCUUCCUUAGGAAGGCGAUUUUCUUGAAGAUAAAUCGUAUUCCGGAGGAGAGUAGUUGCAUACUUUGCAAGCUUAUCUGCAACGGUAUUGCCUUCUCUAUAGCAGUGAGAUAUUUCAAUUUGUAUUUCUCUAACUCUGUCUCUAAUUUCUUCAAUAAUGGAAGUUAGCUUGAAGUGAGUGCUACAAAUGCCUUGGAUCAUAUGGACAAUUAUCAUGGAGUCCAAUUCUACUUUGAAGUUGUAC